rnacentral:rRNA from 1 species
CCUACGGGUGGCAGCAGUGGGGAAUAUUGCACAAUGGGGGAAACCCUGAUGCAGCGACGCCGCGUGAGUGAAGAAGUAUUUCGGUAUGUAAAGCUCUAUCAGCAGGGAAGAAAUAGCGACCUUUGGGUCGCCAGACGGUACCUGAUUAAGAAGCCCCGGCUAACUACGUGCCCGCAGCCGCGGUAAUUCGUAGGGGGAAAGCGUUAUCCGGAUUUAUUGGGUUUAAAGGGUGCGCAGGCGGAGGUGCAAGUCAGCGGUCAAAGUGCGGGGCUCAACCCCGUACUGCCGUUGAAACUGCAUCCCUUGAGUGCGCGAGAGGUGUGCGGAAUGCGUGGUGUAGCGGUGAAAUGCAUAGAUAUCACGAAGAACUCCGAUGGCGAAGGCAGCAUACCGGCGCGCAACUGACGCUCAUGCACGAAAGCGUGGGUAUCGAACAGGAUUAGAUACCCCUGUAGUC